CACAGGUUGUGGAAGAUGGUUAUGAGUUCUUUGCCAAACGCCAGUUGGUUACGCUAUUUUCUGCCCCGAAUUACUGUGGUGAAUUUGACAAUGCAGGUGCCAUGAUGAGUGUGGAUGAGACCCUCAUGUGCUCUUUCCAGAUCUUGAAGCCAGCAGAUAAGAAUAAACCCAAGUAUGGCCAAUUUAGUGGACUUAAUCCGAGUGGGCGCCCUGUCACACCACCAAGGAACUCUGCAAAAGCCAAGAAAUGAUCGCUCUGCCUGUUGUGCAUCUACUGUAUUUUUUUAUUAUCUUCUAUUAUGAAAUACUGAUAUGGAGGGAAAAGCGGUGGGAUAUUUGAGGGAGGGAGGAUCAUCAGUCCGUCAAGGGGUGAGAAUCAUGGUGCUUUUUAUGGGGGUACUGACAACACUGUACAAUUUCUGUUUUUAGAUAUCUUGUCAGUGGUGGUAGUGCAGCAGUGUGUGGACCACAAAUUACACUUGAGCCCCUAAUCUGUUCUCAGGCCAGUCAUUUUGAAAACCAAAAUAAAGACAAUGAGUAUGUAAAUAAAGUCACAUGUAUCAUUUGCAUGUGCACAUGCUUUUAUAAUUAUUGAGGACGGAGCAGUGGCCUUACUUUAUACAGUGUUGUAACCAAUUGGCCUCAGGGUGUUAAAUAACCUAGUAGAGGUUUUGCCCGUCACUUAUCCACCCCUUGGGUUGAAUAUUCUAUCAUUUGUAUUUACAGUAGAUUGACAGCUGUACCAUUGACAACUCAUUUUUUUAGUAUGGCUAACUUGUAUAGAGCCACAGGCAACCGCUGCAACUGCUGUUUUUCUUAUAGCUCUUAUUUUUUUAUUUUGUACCCCAUAAUCUUGUAUCUGUAAAAGCUGAAGUUGAUAAAUGUUGCCUUUCGGAUGUUAA